rnacentral:lncRNA from 1 species
GAUACCCACUGUGAUCUCCAAAGUCAGAUAGGAGGAGGACAAAACUGCGGCACUUAUGUGCGCUCAUCGCCUGCGGCACUUAUGUGCGCUCAUCGCAAAAGGAAAUAUUGCCAAGUUCUCUGGAAGAGAUCUCAAAGAAGCAAUUAAUAUCAAACUGAAUGACUGACCAACCAUCUGCCAAUUCCAGCACAUUCAAUACAACUGAUGCUUUAUUCAAAUACAGAAUACAGACUCUGCCACCAGAAGAACUGAUUCAGAAAAUGUGCAGCAGCUGA